AAUUUUAGGGUAAUUUCAUUUUAAUUACUUAACCGUUAAAAUUUUAAUGCAGUUAAUUUGUACAUGCCACAUCAUGUUCACGUUUACAUUUUAGUCUCCCAACUUUUAGGUUGCUUUCAUUUUAGUCAUCCAAUUUCUUUUUUUUUUUUUUUAAAUAUUGAUCAGAUUAAAAAAAAUGAAAGGUUAGAGUGAAAAAUGGUAAAA
rnacentral:lncRNA from 1 species